rnacentral:rRNA from 1 species
GUCGAGAAUCUUUCACAAUGGGGGCAACCCUGAUGGAGCGACGCCGCGUGGAGGAUAAGGUCUUCGGAUUGUAAACUCCUGUCAUGCGUGAACAAGGUUGCUUGGUUAAUACCUGGGCAAAUUGAUGGUAACGCAAGAGGAAGAGACGGCUAACUCUGUGCCAGCAGCCGCGGUAAUACAGAGGUCUCAAGCGUUGUUCGGAAUCACUGGGCGUAAAGGGUGCGUAGGUGGCGUGGUAAGUCAGAUGUGAAAGCCCGGGGAUCAACCUCGGAACUGCAUCCGAUACUGCCAUGCUAGAGUACUGGAGAGGUGACUAGAAUUCUCGGUGUAGCAGUGAAAUGCGUAGAUAUCGAGAGGAAUACCAAAGGCGUAGGCAGGUCACUGGACAGUUACUGACACUGAGGCACGAAGGCCAGGGGAGCGAACGGGAUUAGAAACCCGUGUAGUCC